UAAGAAUUUGAUAGUUGUUUUUCGUAUCAGUGUUAAAAUAUUAUUUAUCACAUUUUUAAUACAUAGCUUUUGCCAACUGAUUUCUGAAUAUAAAGAAAAGAGAUCUAAAACUUCUCCUGAAAAUAGCAACCCAGUGGAUGAGAGUUCUGAAGAGGACUCUUCAAGGAGGUUUCCCAACAAACCUGGCAUUGAUUUAGGGCCUACAUCAAAUGAUGAAGUCUUAGAUUUUAAAACCAAGGUAAAGUGUUCUGUUGUGAAAUUAGUUUUCCUGCUCUGAAAUUAGUUUCAUGUAGUGUUUACUCUUAUGAUUAGACAGUGGAAGUGACAAAUAGAUUCAAGGGAUUAGAUCUGAUAAACAGAGUGCCUGAAGAACUAUGGAUGGAGAUUCGUGACAUUGUAUAAGAGGCAGUUAUCAAGACCAUCCCCAAGAAAAAGAA
rnacentral:lncRNA from 1 species